AAAUUGAAGAGUUUGAUCAUGGCUCAGAUUGAACGCUGGCGGCAGGCCUAACACAUGCAAGUCGAACGGUAACAGGAAACAGCUUGCUGUUUCGCUGACGAGUGGCGGACGGGUGAGUAAUGUCUGGGAAACUGCCUGAUGGAGGGGGAUAACUACUGGAAACGGUAGCUAAUACCGCAUAACGUCGCAAGACCAAAGAGGGGGACCUUCGGGCCUCUUGCCAUCGGAUGUGCCCAGAUGGGAUUAGCUUGUUGGUGGGGUAACGGCUCACCAAGGCGACGAU
rnacentral:rRNA from 1 species